GACGAACGCUGGCGGCGUGCUUAACACAUGCAAGUCGAACGGAAAGGCCUGCUUUCCCUUGUGGAUUGCGGGUACUCGAGUGGCGAACGGGUGAGUAACACGUGAGUGAUCUGCCCCCAACUUGGGUAUAAGCCUGGGAAACUGGGUCUAAUUCCCGAUAGGACUGCAGGGUGGUGCCUGUGGUGGAGAACGAUUUUCUAGUGGUUGGGGAUGAGCUCGCGGCCUAUCAGCUUGUUGGUGGGGUAAUGGCCUACCAAGGCGGCGACGGGUAGCCGGCCUGAGAGGGUGGACGGCCACAUUGGGACUGAGAUACGGCCCAGACUCCUACGGGAGGCAGCAGUGGGGAAUAUUGCACAAUGGGCGGAAGCCUGAUGCAGCGACGCCGCGUGGGGGAUGACGGCCUUCGGGUUGUAAACUCCUUUCGACCGCGAGGAAGCCACCUGGUUGGAAGGGUGGUGACGGUAGUGGUAGAAGAAGCACCGGCUAACUACGUG
rnacentral:rRNA from 1 species